GGAGCGGUUCCCAUAGACGGCGCCAACUAUUUCUGGUAACCAAGGGUGACAGCUCCAUCCGUCUAAGCCAUUCACUGCCUGGCACAGGGACGAGCUGGACCGCUGGGCAGCCUUUGACACUUGUGUCCACCGUCCCUUCGCUUAUUCAGGCCAGGACUGUACGGCACGUUACAGAGAUGGACCUCCUCUCUUGUCCGUUUGGGUGUCAGCAGCAAGAGAUCAGCCCUGGGCGCACACACAAGUCGCCUAACUUCUAGCGUCCCGCCACCAACCACAGUUUGACUUUAGAGUCCAUUUGUUACCACGUGGGUUCAUUCUCGUGGGGAUUCCUGUCUGUCAGUAAGUCUAGACUGAUUUUGUAAAAGAGUAAUGAGUUCCCAGGCAACUUCCUUCAAGCUGUCCAGGGAAAUUCACGCUCUUCCUUCUCUUCAGGAGAUGGCUAAGUAAAAAACUCUGGAAGGAGCCCUGGGUAUGGGCAUUUGGAGUCCUUUGUAGAAUCAUAAAGUCAACCAGAGUAAAGAUGUAAAGAGCUAAAGCUGAAAAAGGACCCCCCUCUCAGAGGUCAUCUGAUCCAAUGUCAUCAUUCUACAAAUAAGGACACAGAAGCCUGAGGAGGUUAAGUCAUUUAUUCAACAUCACACAGGAAUCUGCAGCAUUUGAGAAGCAUUGGCAGCUGCUAGGAGUGACUGAAAUAACAUCCAUUUCUUCAUGACACUUUUCAGAGCUCACUUUUUCCCCUUAUUGGAAAGUGGAUGGUUUGAGGGGUUUUAAUUUUUCUUGAAUCUUUUUUUAAAUUAAAAAGCAUUUCUUAUUUC